AGUUGUUGUAGUAGAGUGGUAAGUAUUCCCGCUUGUCAUGUGGGUGACCUGGGUUUGAUCCCCGGCAAUGGCGAUC
rnacentral:tRNA from 1 species